rnacentral:rRNA from 1 species
UACGAAGGGGGCUAGCGUUGCUCGGAAUCACUGGGCGUAAAGGCGCGUAAGCGGCCAUUCAAGUCAGGGGUGAAAGCCUGUGGCUCAACCACAGAAUUGCCUUUGAUACUGUUUGGCUAGAGACCGGAAGAGGUAAGUGGAACUGCGAGUGUAGAGGUGAAAUUCGUAGAUAUUCGCAAGAACACCAGUGGCGAAGGCGGCUUACUGGUCCGGUUCUGACGCUGAGGCGCGAAAGCGUGGGGAGCGAACAGG